GGUGAAGCCAGUGGGAGGAUCAUGAUAAGCUGGUUCAUCUGACCUCAUCCUCUAUAUUAUAUAAAUCCUCUAAAAUUAUUAGGUCCUUAAAAUGACAAGGUUAUGGAGAUAACUGAGUCAUAGCCUCUCAUUAAGGUGUUUGAUAAUGAGUCCAUUAACUCAAUAAUCAUUGCAGACCCAAAGGCCUGGUGCUUGUUGACUAAUGGAAUUAUCACUCAUCAUAUGACGACUUGGAAGUGUCUCUCUAAUGGUGAAGUGAGCCAACCAAAGUUGGGCUUAAUCAUUCAUUGGUUAGAUACACCAAGUAUGAUCAUGUUAAUGGUUGGACCUAACUGGAUCCUUACAGUGAAAGCCAAAGCCUACUGAUUAAGUUUCUGGGGCAAAAUCAAAAUUACUAGAAAUUGUUUAGAGAAACAAUUGGUUAUGAACCUAUCCUUAGAUGUACAUGGGUUGGCCAACCAAAGUUGGGCUUGUGUGCAGUCUAAGUGGAUUCUAGUACCCACUAAGGAAUUAUGGUAAUUCCUCGAAUUGAAGGUAGAGGCUACCAAUUCGAAUAAAAUAGUGGGAGAAACCUUUUGAU
rnacentral:lncRNA from 1 species